UCCGGUUUAUCACCGGCAGUCUCCUUUGAGUCCCCGCCUCUACGCGCUGGCAACAAAGAAUAAGGGUUGCGCUCGUUGCGGGACUUAACCCAACAUUUCACAACACGAGCUGACGACAGCCAUGCAGCACCUGUCUCACAGCUCCCGAAGGCACCCCUCCCUCUCAGAAGGGUUCUGUGGAUGUCAAGACCAGGUAAGGUUCUUCGCGUUGCAUCGAAUUAAACCACAUGCUCCACCGCUUGUGCGGGCCCCCGUCAAUUCAUUUGAGUUUUAACCUUGCGGCCGUACUCCCCAGGCGGUCGAUUUAACGCGUUAGCUUCGGAAGCCACUCCUCAGGGGAACAACCUCCAGAUCGACAUCGUUUACAGCGUGGACUAC
rnacentral:misc_RNA from 1 species